CUUUUAUCCGAGGAAACAAAGCAGGAGAAGACUACAAAACCCUCACAGGGGGAUUGGACGAGGUGCUCUUUGGAGGUCCCUUCCAAUUCCUGACAUUCUGUGAUUCUGUGCAAACUUGGUUCACGGUAGUACUUUUGCUGCUGGGAAAUAGGAGCGCUGAUCUUUGGGAAGUUCCGGAUGCUGUCAGGAGUUAUUCAAGCCCAUUGGUGUUAAUUUGAUCCUGGACUGGCUGCUGCUUGACAUGCUGUCUGCACAGAGAUUUUCAGGAGGAGCUGGAGCUAAUGAAACUGUGUGAGGAAGCUGUGACCUUGGUCCGAUCUAAUCAACAGCUUGAAAAUGACCUCAAUCUCAUGGACCUCAAGAUUGGACUGCUAGUGAAGAACAGAAUGACACUGCAGAAAGAGAACUGCAGAAGAAACAUCAAGGCUUCAAGUGUUUUAAAAACAAAGCACCAGAAAAAAACCCACUCGGGACCAAGGGAAAGCAAUAGAUGGAUGUUGUUUCUCAUAGCAAAAAUCUUAGCAAGGAGAACAAGGAACAGCUCUCUGACGUGAUGAUACUGAACGAGCAAAAGGGAGGUUUGAAAGCUUUGAGCAAAGAGGAGAGGGAAAAGCUGGAAGCCUAUCAGCAUCUUUUCUACUUGAGUGUUGAGGCGCUGUCUGUCUUUGUGGUGUUGGCUUUUGUGGACACGUGCUGUAUGGGAACUGCUGAGUCAUGGCCUGAACCUCUGAUUGAUCACCUGAGGCGAGCAGUGAGUCAGGCAGAGGAGCACAGGUGAAGGCAAUGCAGCUGUGCUGCUGGAAGGGGUGCAGCCAGGCUACAGCCCUCCUAGACCUGUUUAAGAGCUGGCUACCAGUGGGGAAGGAUCUCGUCUGGAGAUCUGCUCUGCUGGAGUUUUACUACUCCAACGUACUUGGCCAAGCUGCUUUUGCAGAUGCCUCAAAACAAACCCACGGAGUUCAUGGAUUCAGCCAUCUUCACGCUGCAUAACUACGCAUCCAGUCAGAGAGAGGAAUCUCUGCUGUUGCGGCCGUUACAAACAGCAUUGCAGGAAGAGAUCAAAUGCGCUCUUUCAACCGUGGUGCCCGUGGUCAGAACGCACUGAGGCAGAUCUUGGCCCCAGUUGUGAAGGAAAUAAUUGAGGACGAAUCGCUCAACGUCAGAACGGAUCCAGUGGAUGUUUACAAGUGCUGGGUGAACCAGAUGGGAUCUCAGAAUGG